rnacentral:rRNA from 1 species
GACGAACGCUGGCGGCGUGCUUAACACAUGCAAGUCGAACGAUGAUGCCCAGCUUGCUGGGUGGAUUAGUGGCGAACGGGUGAGUAACACGUGAGUAACCUGCCCCUGACUCUGGGAUAAGCGUUGGAAACGACGUCUAAUACUGGAUAUAACUGCCGGCCGCAUGGUCUGGUGGUGGAAAGAUUUUUUGGUUGGGGAUGGACUCGCGGCCUAUCAGCUUGUUGGUGAGGUAAUGGCUCACCAAGGCGACGACGGGUAGCCGGCCUGAGAGGGUGACCGGCCACACUGGGACUGAGACACGGCCCAGACUCCUACGGGAGGCAGCAGUGGGGAAUAUUGCACAAUGGGCGAAAGCCUGAUGCAGCAACGCCGCGUGAGGGAUGACGGCCUUCGGGUUGUAAACCUCUUUUAGUAGGGAAGAAGCGAAAGUGACGGUACCUGCAGAAAAAGCACCGGCUAACUACGUGCCAGCAGCCGCAGUAA